AACAGGUUGAUAUUCCUGUACCACCUAUAAUCGUUUUAAUCGAUGGGGGGACGCAGUAGGAUAGGCGAAGCGUGCGAUUGGAUUGCACGUCUAAGCAGUAAGGCUGAGUAUUAGGCAAAUCCGGUACUCAUUAAGGCUGAGCUGUGAUGGGGAGAAGACAUUGUGUCUUCGAGUCGUUGAUUUCACACUGCCGAGAAAAGCCUCUAGAUAGAAAAUAGGUGCCCGUACCGCAAACCGACACAGGUAGUCAAGAUGAGAAUUCUAAGGUGAGCGAGCGAACUCUCGUUAAGGAACUCGGCAAAAUGACCCCGUAACUUCGGGAGAAGGGGUGCUCUUUAGGGUUAACGCCCAGAAGAGCCGCAGUGAAUAGGCCCAAGCGACUGUUUAUCAAAAACACAGGUCUCUGCUAAACCGUAAGGUGAUGUAUAGGGGCUGACGCCUGCCCGGUGCUGGAAGGUUAAGAGGAGUGGUUAGCUUCUGCGAAGCUACGAAUCGAAGCCCCAGUAAACGGCGGCCGUAACUAUAACGGUCCUAAGGUAGCGAAAUUCCUUGUCGGGUAAGUUCCGACCCGCACGAAAGGCGUAACGAUUUGGGCACUGUCUCAACGAGAGACUCGGUGAAAUCAUAGUACCUGUGAAGAUGCAGGUUACCCGCGACAGGACGGAAAGACCCCGUGGAGCUUUACUGUAGCCUGAUAUUGAAAUUCGGCACAGCUUGUACAGGAUAGGUAGGAGCCUUUGAAACGUGAGCGCUAGCUUACGUGGAGGCGCUGGUGGGAUACUACCCUAGCUGUGUUGGCUUUCUAACCCGCACCACUUAUCGUGGUGGGAGACAGUGUCAGGCGGGCAGUUUGACUGGGGCGGUCGCCUCCUAAAAGGUAACGGAGGCGCUCAAAGGUUCCCUCAGAAUGGUUGGAAAUCAUUCAUAGAGUGUAAAGGCAUAAGGGAGCUUGACUGCGAGACCUACAAGUCGAGCAGGGUCGAAAGACGGACUUAGUGAUCCGGUGGUUCCGCAUGGAAGGGCCAUCGCUCAACGGAUAAAAGCUACCCCGGGGAUAACAGGCUUAUCUCCCCCAAGAGUUCACAUCGACGGGGAGGUUUGGCACCUCGAUGUCGGCUCAUCGCAUCCUGGGGCUGUAGUCGGUCCCAAGGGUUGGGCUGUUCGCCCAUUAAAGCGGUACGCGAGCUGGGUUCAGAACGUCGUGAGACAGUUCGGUCCCUAUCCGUCGUGGGCGUAGGAAAUUUGAGAGGAGCUGUCCUUAGUACGAGAGGACCGGGAUGGACAUACCUCUGGUGUACCAGUUGUCGUGCCAACGGCAUAGCUGGGUAGCUAUGUGUGGACGGGAUAAGUGCUGAAAGCAUCUAAGCAUGAAGCCCCCCUCAAGAUGAGAUUUCCCAACUUCGGUUAUAAGAUCCCUCAAAGAUGAUGAGGUUAAUAGGUUCGAGGUGGAAGCAUGGUGACAUGUGGAGCUGACGAAUACUAAUCGAUCGAAGACUUAAUCAA
rnacentral:rRNA from 1 species